UGUGUAUUCGACCUGAGC
rnacentral:rRNA from 1 species